CCUUCGGGGGGGGGGCAGUAGGGAAUCUUCCGCAAUGGGCGAAAGCCUGACGGAGCAAUGCCGCGUGAGUGAUGAAGGUUUUCGGAUCGUAAAGCUCUGUUGCCAGGGAAGAACGCUUGGGAGAGUAACUGCUCUCAAGGUGACGGUACCUGAGAAGAAAGCCCCGGCUAACUACGUGCCAGCAGCCGCGGUAAUACGUAGGGGGCAAGCGUUGUCCGGAAUUAUUGGGCGUAAAGCGCGCGCAGGCGGUCAUUUAAGUCUGGUGUUUAAUCCCGGGGCUCAACCCCGGAUCGCACUGGAAACUGGGUGACUUGAGUGCAGAAGAGGAGAGUGGAAUUCCACGUGUAGCGGUGAAAUGCGUAGAUAUGUGGAGGAACACCAGUGGCGAAGGCGACUCUCUGGGCUGUAACUGACGCUGAGGCGCGAAAGCGUGGGGAGCAAAACAGGAUUAGAUACCCCCKGRUWAUCAAA
rnacentral:rRNA from 1 species